AUUGAACGCUGGCGGCAUGCCUUACACAUGCAAGUCGAACGGCAGCACGGGUGGCUUGCACCUGGUGGCGAGUGGCGAACGGGUGAGUAAUGCAUCGGAACGUGCCCAGUCGUGGGGGAUAACGCAGCGAAAGUUGUGCUAAUACCGCAUACGUCCUGAGGGAGAAAGCAGGGGAUCUUCGGACCUUGUGCGAUUGGAGCGGCCGAUGUCAGAUUAGCUAGUUGGUGAGGUAAGAGCUCACCAAGGCGACGAUCUGUAGCUGGUCUGAGAGGAUGGAUCAGCCACACUGGAACUGAGACACGGUCCAGACUCCUACGGGAGGCAGCAGUGGGGAAUUUUGGACAAUGGGGGCAACCCUGAUCCAGCCAUGCCGCGUGAGUGAAGAAGGCCU
rnacentral:rRNA from 1 species